AAUUCGGAAUACGUACAGAUUUAUCAACCAGGAUUCUCAGUGCCACAUUAUUUUAUAGAAGAAAAAUCUUCAUCAAUAGGGAACUGGUUAAGUAUCCUAGGGUACAUCCAUAAGAUAAAAAAUGUUUUUAAGAAUGGUGGCUCACGCCUGUAAUCCCAGCACUUUGGGAGGCUGAGGCGGGUGGAUCACGAGGUCAGGAGUUCAAGACUAGCCUGACCAACAUGGUGAACCCUCCUCUCUACUAAAAAUACAAAAAUUAGCCAGGUGUGGUGGCGUGCACCUGUAGUCCCUGCUACUCAGGAGGCUGAGGCAGGAGAAUUGCUUGAACCCGGGAGACAGAGGUUGGCAGUGAGCCAAGAACGUGCCAUUGCACUCCAGCCUGGGAGACAGAGUGAGACUCUAUCUCAAAAAAAUAAAUAAAAAAUAAAAAUAAAAAUGUUUAAGGACUUGGGCCAGGCGCUGUGGCUCACAUCUGUAAUCCCAACACUUUGGGAGGCUGAGGUGGGCGGAUCACUUGAGGUCAGGAAUUCGGGGACUACAGGCGCCCGCCACCACGCCCGGCUAAUUUUUAGUAUUUUUAGUAGAGAUGGGGUUUCACCGUGGUCUCGAUCUCCUGACCUCAUGAUCCGCCCGCCUCAGCCUCCCAAAGUGCUGGUAAUUAAAGUCAUGAGAAUCAUUUGUCAAAGAGUAGUGUUAGAAAUUUAAAAGCUUGGGAAGAACAGCUCAAGUCAAAUCCUGAGUUUCAAAUGAUUUCUUCAUGGUAAAGCUCUGUUCAUAGGCUUCCAUUCUCUCCCAUACUCAAGCCCUAGUACACGGCUUAUUCAGAGUUGCCAGCCAGGGCAGGGCACUGGGGAACGGGGAAGCCACUCCAGGGGCAGAAGAAUUUGGGGGCUCUAGCUCAAAGCUGGGAGAUAAGCAGCUAGAGGACAGGCCUGGGGAGUGCUGUGGCAGUGUGUUCCAAAUACAUACCCAAAAUGUGAUGGCCCUGUCCUUUAGUCAGUGGCCCCACACUUCUUCCAGUGACUCAGAAGGGGCCCCUGGAGUCAUGCAAAUGGAACAUAUCCAUCAUGCGCCAAAACGUGCUUGUGUCUCCUUGUAAUCCCUUCCUCUCCACAACCAUUGUCACUUUAGAUUGGUUUCUGUCACUUUAGAUUUGUGUGUAACUUCUAGAGUUUUUUUUUUUUUUUGAGGCAGAGUCUCACUCUGUCAUCCAGGCUGGAGUGCAAUGGCGUGAUCUCGGCUCACUGCAACCCCUGCCUCCCAGGUUCAAGUGAUUGUCCUGCCUCAGCCUCCCAGGUAGCUGGGAUUACAGGCGUCAGCCACCGUGCCUGGCCUAGAGUUUUAUAUAAAUAGUCUUAUAGGCCGGGCAUGGUGGCUCACGCUUGUAAUCCCACCACCUUGGUAGGCCUAGGUGGGUAGAUCACUUGAGGUCAGGAGUUUGAGACCAGCCUGACAUGGCGAAACCCUAUCUCUACUAAAAAUACAAAAAUUACCCGGGUGCAGUGGCUUGUGCCUAUAAUCCCAGCCACCUGGGAGGCUGAGGCAGGGCAAUCACUUGAACCCAGGAGGUGGAGGUUGCAGUGAGCCGAGAACAUGCCACUGCAGUCCAGCAGGGGCGACAGAGUGAAACUCCAUCUCAAAAAAAAAAAAGAAAUUAGCCUGGCAUGGUGGUGUGUACCUGUAGUUCCAGCUACUCAGGAGGCUGAGGUGGGAUGAUGGCUUGAGCCUGGGAGAUGGAGGCUGCAGUGAGCCAAGAUCGCUCCACUGCACUCCAGCCUGGACUAUAGAGCCAGACCUUGUCUCUAAAAAAUUUAAAAAUUAAGAAAAAAAUCAUACAGUAUGCUCUCUUUUGCUUCUUUUGGCACAGUUUGUAACUUAUUUAUAUUUUAUCAAUAAUUUAUUCCAUUUGCUGAGUAGUAUUCCACUGUAUGGAUAUAUUUGUUUUUUAUCUAUAAUUUGUUUAUUCAGUCACCUGUUGACAUUUAGGUUGUUUCCAGUUUGGGGUUGUAACAAACAAAGCUAUCUAAAAGCUUUGUGUGGAGAUAUGUAUUCAUUUUUCUUGGAGUGACUAGAUGAUAUGAUAGGUGUAUAUUUAAGGUUUUUUUUUCUUCUUUUUUUGAGACAGAGUUUCGCUUUGUUAUCCAGGCUGGGGUGCAGUGGCGUGAUCUUGGCUCAGUACAACCUCCACCUCCCAGGUUCAAGUGAUUCUCUUGCCUCAGUCUCUCGAAUAGCUGGGAUUACAGGUGCGCACCACCAUGUCCAGCCCUU
rnacentral:lncRNA from 1 species